rnacentral:ncRNA from 1 species
AAGCUAGGGGCGCCUAAUUUUGGCUGAGAUUUACCCUUGACCUGAUCUGGUUAGUACCAGCGUAGGGAAGCA